rnacentral:rRNA from 1 species
UACGUAGGUGGCAAGCGUUGUCCGGAAUUAUUGGGCGUAAAGCGCGCGCAGGCGGUCCUUUAAGUCUGAUGUGAAAGCCCACGGCUCAACCGUGGAGGGUCAUUGGAAACUGGGGGACUUGAGUACAGAAGAGAAGAGUGGAAUUCCACGUGUAGCGGUGAAAUGCGUAGAGAUGUGGAGGAACACCAGUGGCGAAGGCGACUCUUUGGUCUGUAACUGACGCUGAGGCGCGAAAGCGUGGGGAGCAAACAGGAUAGAAACCCCUG